UACGUAGGGGGCAAGCGUUGUCCGGAAUCAUUGGGCGUAAAGAGCGUGUAGGCGGCCCGAUAAGUCCGCUGUGAAAGUCCAGGGCUCAACCCUGGGAUGCCGGUGGAUACUGUCGGGCUCGAGUCCGGAAGAGGAGUGUGGGAAUUCCUGGUGUAGCGGUGGAAAUGCGCAGAUAUCAGGAGGAACACCAAUGGCGAAGGCAGCACUCUGGGACGUGACUGACGCUGAGACGCGAAAGCGUGGGGAGCAAACAGG
rnacentral:rRNA from 1 species